GAGAAUCUUCCGCAAUGCGCGCAAGCGUGACGGAGCGACGCCGCGUGGGUGAUGAAGGCUUUACUGUUGUAAAACCCUGUCAGCUACCAUGAAAUGUGGGCGAUGAACAAUUGUCCCACUUGACCUAAGUAGCAGAGGAAGCACCGGCUAACUACGUGCCAGCAGCCGCGGUAAUACGUAGGGUGCAAACGUUGUUCGGAAUCACUGGGCAUAAAGGGCGCGUAGGCGGUCCAUUAAGUCGGAUGUGAAAUACUUCGGCCCAACCGGAGAACUGCAUUUGAUACUGAUGGGCUAGAGUGCAGGAGGGGAGAGUGGAAUUCCUGGUGGAGCGGUGAAAUGCGUAGAUAUCAGGAGGAACGCCGGUGGCGAAAGCGACUCUCUGGCCUGCAUCUGACGCUGAGUGCGCGAAAGCUAGGGGAGCAAACG
rnacentral:rRNA from 1 species